GACGAACGCUGGCGGCGUGCUUAACACAUGCAAGUCGAACGGAAAGGCCCUGCUUUUGUGGGGUGCUCGAGUGGCGAACGGGUGAGUAACACGUGAGUAACCUGCCCUUGACUUUGGGAUAACUUCAGGAAACUGGGGCUAAUACCGGAUAGGAGCUCCUGCUGCAUGGUGGGGGUUGGAAAGUUUCGGCGGUUGGGGAUGGACUCGCGGCUUAUCAGCUUGUUGGUGGGGUAGUGGCUUACCAAGGCUUUGACGGGUAGCCGGCCUGAGAGGGUGACCGGCGACAUUGGGACUGAGAGACGGCCCAGACUCCUACGGGAGGCAGCAGUGGGGAAUAUUGCAGAAUGGGCGGAAGCCUGAUGCAGCAACGCCGCGUGCGGGAUGACGGCCUUCGGGUUGUAAACCGCUUUCGCCUGUGACGAAGCGUGAGUGACGGUAAUGGGUAAAGAAGCACCGGCUAACUACGUG
rnacentral:rRNA from 1 species